GAGUUUGAUCCUGGCUCAGGAUGAACGCUAGCGGGAGGCUUAACACAUGCAAGUCGAGCGGUAUUGACCUUCGGGUCGAGAGAGCGGCGCACGGGUGCGUAACGCGUAUGCAACCUGCCUUAUGCAGGGGGAUAGCCCGGGGAAACCCGGAUUAAUACCCCAUAGAUCAGUAGUAUCGCAUGGUACAGCUGGUAAAGAUUCAUCGGCAUAAGAUGGGCAUGCGUCUGAUUAGCUAGUUGGUAGGGUAACGGCCUACCAAGGCGACGAUCAGUAGGGGUUCUGAGAGGAUUAUCCCCCACACUGGUACUGAGACACGGACCAGACUCCUACGGGAGGCAGCAGUGAGGAAUAUUGGUCAAUGGGCGCAAGCCUGAACCAGCCAUCCCGCGUGAAGGAUGAAUGCCUUAUGGGUUGUAAACUUCUUUUGUACCUGAAGAAACUCUGGGUCGUGACCUGGACUGCCGGUAGGGUACGAAUAAGCAUCGGCUAACUCCGUGCCAGCAGCCGCGGUAAUACGGAGGAUGCAAGGGUUAUCCGGAUUUAUUGGGGUUUAAAGGGUGCGCAGGUGGUUGAAUAAGUCAGUGGUGAAAGUCUGCCGCUUAACGGUAGGAUUGCCAUUGAUACUGUUUGACUUGAGUUUAGGUGAGGUAGGCGGAAUGUGUAGUGUAGCGGUGAAAUGCAUAGAUAUUACACAGAACACCGAUUGCGAAGGCAGCUUACUAAUCUACAACUGACACUGAGGCACGAAAGCGUGGGGAUCAAACAGGAUUAGAUACCCUGGUAGACACGCUGUAAACGAUGAUCACUCGCUGUUUGCGAUAUACAGUAAGCGGCUAAGCGAAAGCGAUAAGUGAUCCACCUGGGGAGUACGAUCGCAAGGUUGAAACUCAAAGGAAUUGACGGGGGCCCGCACAAGCGGAGGAACAUGUGGUUUAAUUCGAUGAUACGCGAGGAACCUUACCUGGGCUUAAAUGGGGAGUGACAGCUGGCGAAAGUUGGUUUUCUUCGGACACUCUUCAAGGUGCUGCAUGGUUGUCGUCAGCUCGUGCCGUGAGGUGUCGGGUUAAGUCCCAUAACGAGCGCAACCCUUACUGUUAGUUGCCAGCGGGUAGAGCCGGGAACUCUAACGGGACUGCC
rnacentral:rRNA from 1 species